UACGUAGGGAGCGAGCGUUAUCCGGAAUUAUUGGGCGUAAAGGGUGCGUAGAUGGUUGAUAUAAGUCUUUUGUAAAAAUGCUAGGCUCAACCUAGUAGGGCAAAAGAUACUGAUGAACUAGAGUACGGCAGAGGCAAGUGGAACUACAUGUGUAGCGGUAAAAUGCGUAAAUAUAUGUAAGAACACCGGUGGCGAAGGCAGCUCACUGGACUGCAACUGACACUGAGGCUCGAAAGUGUGGGUAUCAAACAGG
rnacentral:rRNA from 1 species